rnacentral:rRNA from 1 species
AUUGAACGCUGGCGGCAUGCCUUACACAUGCAAGUCGAGCGGCAGCGCGGGGGCAACUCUGGCGGCGAGCGGCGAACGGGUGAGUAAUGCAUCGGAACGUGUCCUGCAGUGGGGGAUAACCAGUCGAAAGACUGGCUAAUACCGCAUACGACCUACGGAUGAAAGCGGGGGACCGCACGGCCUCGCGCGAUUCGAGCGGCCGAUGUCGGAUGAGCUUGUUGGCGGGGUAACGGCCAACCAAAGCGACGAUCCGUAGCUGGUCUGAGAGGACGACCAGCCACACUGGAACUGAGACACGGUCCAGACUCCUACGGGAGGCAGCAGUGGGGAAUUUUGGACAAUGGGGGCAACCCUGAUCCAGCCAUGCCGCGUGAGUGAAGAAGGCCUUCGGGUUGUAAAGCUCUUUCGGCGGGGACGAAACGGUUCGUGGCAACACCACGGAUCAAUGACGGUACUCGCAGAAGAAGCACCGGCUAACUACGUGCCAGCCGCCGCAGUAAGAC